UACGAAGGGGGCUAGCGUUGUUCGGAAUCACUGGGCGUAAAGCGCACGUAGGCGGCUUGUAAGUUAGAGGUGAAAGCCCGGGGCUCAACUCCGGAAAUUGCCUUUAAGACUGCAUCGCUAGAAUUGUGGAGAGGUAAGUGGAAUUCCGAGUGUAGAGGUGAAAUUCGUAGAUAUUCGGAAGAACACCAGUGGCGAAGGCGGACUUACUGGACACAGUAUUGACGCUGAGGUGCGAAAGCGUGGGGAGCAACAGG
rnacentral:rRNA from 1 species